UGGAAUUGUUGUCACAGACUCGAGAUCUGAUUGGUUACCGCCUGGCGACACAAGCCUGGUGUAAUAUGAUUGGAUAAAAACUUUACAAUAAUAUACAACAGUCGGAGCGGCGAAACCGAGCGGAUAUAAUAUGACACGAAGAAAACAGACCAUGGAGAAUCAUUUAUGACCUCUCUACAAACAAAAUCUGAGCAUGUUUAGGUUAGCAGAGAACGUUUUGCUGCGUCUGAUGGCCGCCACUGCGUCCGAGUUUGCGUUGCCACGCACGUCCGUGCACGUGCGUCAAAACCAUGGUAACCAGCGCUGAGUUAAUAAAAGGAGCGCAGCUAUGUGAUUUUACACAUUUGCCUCUGGUCUUGGAGACAUUGGCAGCAACACAAAAAUCUGCGACCGUAUUAAUUUGUUUUGCUGGAGCAAUGGAGCGCCACUUGCCCCCGAGGAUCUGGCAGCUCUGGAGAAGGUUCAGACGGUGGAGCCGCCUAGGCAGACAGCGGUGGCAGCCGGAGGGGGUUGCUGUGCACGGUCCACCUAGACUUCCUCCACCUAGACGUCGGAGACCUCGUUGUGACCCACCCACUUCCCACGUUCAGGAAGUUGGUCCCCCCACCUCUGACAUUGAGGUACCCCGCUCUGACCUGCCUUCUUACUUACAUGUUCCACCACGCUGGGGACACACACCACUUCCUCUUUAUUCAGAUCUUUUUCCUUCUUAUCCUCCUCCACGCUCUCCCUGUUCCUCCUUCUUCUAUUCCUUCCACACCCCCUCCUCCCUAUUCUCCUGUUCCUUCUUGCUCUUGUGCUCCUCCUCAUUCUCCUCCACGCUCUCCUGUUCCUUCUUCUAUUCCUUCCACACCCCCUCCUCCCUAUUCUCCUCCACGCUCUCCUGUUCCUUCUUCUCUUCCUUCCACACCCCCUCCUCCCUAUUCUCCUCCACGCUCUCCUGUUCCUUCUUCUGUUCCUUCCACACCCCUCCUCCCUAUUCUCCUCCACGCUCUCCUGUUCCUUCUUCUGUUCCUUCCACACCUCCUCCUCCCUAUUCUCCUGUUCCUUCUUGCUCUUGUGCUCCUCCUCAUUCUCCUCCACGCUCUCCUGUUCCUCCUUCUUCUGUUCCUUCCACACCCCCUCCUCCCUAUUCUCCUCCACGCUCUCCUGUUCCUUCUUCUGUUCCUUCCACACCCCCUCCUCCCUAUUCUCCUCCACGCUCUCCUGUUCCUUCUUCUGUUCCUUCCACACCCCCUCCUCCCUAUUCUCCUCCACGCUCUCCUGUUCCUUCUUCGUUCCUUCCACACCCCUCCUCCCUAUUCUCCUCCACGCUCUCCUGUUCCUUCUUCUGUUCCUUCCACACCCCCUCCUCCCUAUUCUCCUCCACGCUCUCCUGUUCCUUCUUCUGUUCCUUCCACACCCCCUCUUCCCUAUUCUCCUCCACGCUCUCCUGUUCCUUCUUCUGUUCCUUCCACACCCCCUCCUCCUUAUUCUCCUGUUCCCUCUUGCUCUCCUGCUCCUCCUCUUUCUCCUCCAUGCUCUUCUGCUCUUUCUCCUUCUGUUUCACCUUCACCCCCUCCUCCUUCUCUUCUGGUUCCACCUAUUGUGGCUCCUUCUGAGCUGCCGUGUGUUCCCGAUGCUGGCCUUUUCCUGUCUCCUGUUAUUCAGGACUCAGGCUCCAUAGUGGAAGGGACCAGCGAGGCCUUAGCGGUUGGGGAGAACAACGAGGCUCCUAGCAGCAGCAGCAGCACAUCUGCUAGAGGUAGGAAGGACAGUGAUGGGGAGGGGGCUGCUCCCAAAAGACCAUGUUUUACUGUGAGACACUGUGUCACACAGUAAACUUGGUCUUUCCCUUUGUUGGAUGGCAACAGCCACCUCUUCAUUCACGGAUAACUGGCUUCUGUUUCUGACAGGACCAGUUUAUCCUACUGUCUUCUUUUUUUCUUUCCUGAUUUCUUUCUUCAUAAUUUUAAAUAUUCAUCCAAACCCUGAGAACUAGCCUUUGCGUCUGGCUGGGCAGUUCUUGUCCCAGGUAGCGUCUGGCACUGGGACCUUUCUUUCUUUCCUGGAUGAAUACAGGUUUGAAUGCUAAUAUUUAACCUGAGAACUAGCCUUUGCGUCUGGCUGGGCAGUUCUUGUCCCAGGUUGCGUCUGGCACUGGGGCCUGCGUUUAGAGUUCAGCAUGGUGGUGGGAUGGACUUUUCUUUCACCCUGAAGGCUGAGUUCAGCGCCUGGCAGGGCCGUCGACCCCCCCCCAUACAAGUUGCUCGAGCGUCUGGCAGGGUAACUAUUAUGUUUAUUGCUAUGUUUUCCUCUACAGCAAUAGGUCAGUUCAGUCACAGUGGCACUGGGGACACUUGUCAUCUCCCACUGAAGCUCCUCAAGGGCAGAGGAGGAUGGACUGCAGUGUCAUGUGUUAUGGAGGGGACACAUGGUUGUCUGCUGUUCUAAUCAUGCUCCACACCACAGGGAGCAGUGCCGAUGAUACUGAUGUACUGACCAGUGUGUCUGUCAGUCCAGUGGACAAAGGUGAGUACAGGAUUUUGAUUGUGUGACAAUUUCAAAGAUGUCAAAGGACGUGGUUGAGUGGGAAUAAAUGUUUGUAUUACAUUCA
ensembl:lncRNA